GGAGGAGACACCAGCUCCGUUUUCCCUCGCGAGAAGCAUUCAAAUCGCGCAGUUUCCAAGUUGGCUGCUUCCCGCUGAAGGCGGUGAGGUCUUCAGUUCUCUUUUGGUAUUUGGAAACUAGAAAGGGGAUCGGUGGUCAGAUCAGUCUGGCUGCACCACUUCGCUAACUGGUUUUUGAACUGGUUUUUGAGUCCAGUUCAAAGUGCUGGUUGUUACCUCUAAGCCCUAGAUGGUUUGCUUCAAGGAAUGUCCUCUCCACAUGAUCCUGCCCUCUGCUCAUAACAUCUGGGAGGCCCUUCUUCAUGUCCUGCUGCCAUCUGAAGUUAAGUUGGCAAUGAUGUUGGAGGCCUUCUUUAUUGUGGGAAUCCUUGCUCCAGGAUAUUUGUAUGGCUUGGCUUUAAGAGUACUUCGAUAAACAAUAAAAACAUUUUUAUUUUAACAAGC